rnacentral:lncRNA from 1 species
AUGGUUCCAAAGGGUUUCUCGUGUCUGUCACCUCUACUAAAAUGCAACCACUUCCGGUCAUCUCCGCUGAAAUUCGGUCACCUCUACUGAAAUCCGGCCAUCUCCACUGAAAUUCGGUCACCUCUACUGAAAUCCGGUUACCUUCACUGAAAUACGAUCACCUCUAGUUAGUUCUUUUCAAUCUCUCUUCAUAUUUCUUAAUUUUGUGUAGUACAGUAUGUAUAAGCAUGUAUGUUUGUAGGUAGGCCUGGCAAUCCUGACCCAAUUGUAUGAAUUUGUCGCUGCUAAAACUGAAUUUUCCUGUAGUGUCACUGUAAACUGGAAAAUCAAAUAAAUUAUUAUUAUUGUCCAAUUUUUAUUCUUUUACUUUGUUGUGUAUUAUAAUUAAAAGUUUAGUAUUUUAAAAUGAAAAAAAAUAUAUGUGGUUUAUUAUGAAGAUAUACGUAGCUUAUGAUAUUCGUAUAUGUAUCCCGCGGACUACAUGUAUCAUGUUUUUUUUAAGACGAAUGACAUAUAAAACCUAAAAAGUUCUUGGAUAGUAUUGUUUUUCUUCAAAUUUUCUAUUAUUUUUUAAGUUUUUGAGUUAGGAUAAUACUAGAGUUUAUGAACACUACAAAUAACAAAAGCAAUUAUGAUCAUUUGAGUAAUUAUUGUUUCUCUACUUUAUUUUUUAUAGUGUAAUUACUCUAGUUUAAAACUACAGAUUAAUACUAAUUACUUUUGUCAUUUGUAAAUUUGGUAUGUUAAAUUCAUUUGUAUAGGAUAACGCACACAUAUAUUGUAUCACCACCAAAAUAUUAAAAUUCGAUUAUCAUCGUGUUAUAUUGCGACAUUUUGACACAAAGUAAUUUAACUAUGAAUAUUUAACCUAUUUAGUAUACUUGUUUAUUAAAAAGAAAAGAGUUGUGACAUAAAAAAUACAUAACAAAACAUGGAGGGGCAAAUUGAGUAUGUAAUCUUUGCAUGAUUGAAGAUUUUGAAGGUUUUACGAAGUGUAAUAAGUUUGAAUUAAAAAAAAUACGAGUUUUCAAUGUGUAAUGCGUAUACAAAUAUGUUAAAUGUUU